ACUCCUACGGGAGGCAGCAGUGGGGAAUAUUGCACAAUGGGCGAAAGCCUGAUGCAGCGACGCCGCGUGGGGGAUGAAGGCCUUCGGGUUGUAAACCCCUUUUAGCAGGGAAGAAGCGAAAGUGACGGUACCUGCAGAAAAGCGCCGGCUAACUACGUGCCAGCAGCCGCGGUAAUACGUAGGGCGCAAGCGUUGUCCGGAAUUAUUGGGCGUAAAGAGCUCGUAGGCGGUUUGUCGCGUCUGCUGUGAAAUCCCGAGGCUCAACCUCGGGCCUGCAGUGGGUACGGGCAAACUAGAGUGUGGUAGGGGAGACUGGAAUUCCUGGUGUAGCGGUGGAAUGCGCAGAUAUCAGGAGGAACACCAAUGGCGAAGGCAGGUCUCUGGGCCACUACUGACGCUGAGGAGCGAAAGCGUGGGGAGCGAACAGGAUUAGAUACCCUGGUAGGCUCUGC
rnacentral:rRNA from 1 species